UUGUCUCAAAGAUUAAGCCAUGCAUGUCUCAGUACAUACCGAAUUAAGGUGAAACCGCGAAAGGCUCAUUAUAUCAGUUAUGGUUCAUUAGAUCGUACUUCACAUUUACUUGGAUAACUGUGGUAAUUCUAGAGCUAAUACAUGCAAACAGAACUCCGACCGGAGACGGAAGGAGCGCUUUUAUUAGAUCAAAACCGAUGGGCGUCGGCGGCCGGCGUGAUCGUGCGCCGCGUCGUCGUCGUCGCAUAGCUCUCACGAUGAAUCUGAAUAACUUUAUGCCGAUCGCACGGUCAAGCACCGGCGACGCAUCUUUCAAAUGUCUGCCUUAUCAACUUUCGAUGGUAGGUUAUGCGCCUACCAUGGUUGUAACGGGUAACGGGGAAUCAGGGUUCGAUUCCGGAGAGGGAGCCUGAGAAACGGCUACCACAUCCAAGGAAGGCAGCAGGCGCGCAAAUUACCCACUCCCGGCACGGGGAGGUAGUGACGAAAAAUAACGAUACGGGACUCAUCCGAGGCCCCGUGAUCGGAAUGAGCACACUUUAAAUCCUUUAACUAGGAUCAAUUGGAGGGCAAGUCUGGUGCCAGCAGCCGCGGUAAUUCCAGCUCCAAUAGCGUAUAUUAAAGUUGCUGCGGUUAAAAAGCUCGUAGUCGAAAUUGUGUCCCGGGCCGCCGGUUCGUCGCUCGCGACGUCAACUGGCGCGCACGCGGGACGUCCAGCCGGUGCUCGAACCCGCCGACGGUGCUCUUAACCGAGUGUCCAGGCGGGGGCCGGCAACGUUACUUUGAACAAAUUAAAGUGCUCAAAGCAGGCUAAACUGCGCUCGCAUAAUCAGUGCAUGGAAUAAUCGAAUAGGACCUCUGUUCUAUUUUGUUGGCUUUUGUAGAACAAACAGAGGUAAUGAUCAAUGGGUGCGGAUGGGGGCAUUCGUAUUGCGACGUUAGAGGUGAAAUUCUUGGAUCGUCGCAAGACGCACUAAAGCGAAAGCAUUUGCCAAAAACGCUUUCAUCGAUCAAGAACGAAAGUUAGAGGUUCGAAGGCGAUCAGAUACCGCCCUAGUUCUAACCAUAAACUAUGCCAGCCAGCGAUCCGCCGAAGUUACUACUAUGACUCGGCGGGCAGCUACCGGGAAACCAAAGCUUUUGGGUUCCGGGGGAAGUAUGGUUGCAAAGCUGAAACUUAAAGGAAUUGACGGAAGGGCACCACCAGGAGUGGAGCCUGCGGCUUAAUUUGACUCAACACGGGAAACCUCACCAGGCCCGGACACCGAAAGGAUUGACAGAUUGAGAGCUCUUUCUUGAUUCGGUGGGUGGUGGUGCAUGGCCGUUCUUAGUUGGUGGAGCGAUUUGUCUGGUUAAUUCCGAUAACGAACGAGACUC
rnacentral:rRNA from 2 species